rfam:Drechmeria coniospora strain ARSEF 6962 chromosome 02, whole genome shotgun sequence.
GUCUUCUUGGCUUAGUUGGUUAAAGCGUCGGUCUCAUAUUCAUAUGACCAGAUUUACUCUGGGUAAUCCGAAGGUCGUGAGUUCGAGUCUCACAGAGGACA